GCCAUCAAAAGCACAAGUAGAAUCACCUCCAUCAAGUGAAGUUAAAGUAGAAACUCUUCCAUCUAGUUCUGCUGGUAAGCUCUAAUUGGACCUUGGCUCUCUAUCUUGACUUAGAGCAUUAGAUAUGUUAUUCUUCUUUGAGAAUUAGCGCUGGUAAGCUCUAAUUGGACAGUUGUUAGUUAUUAUACAUAAGGAGUUUACUUUAUGAUCUAAUACAUAAGCACUAAAAAUCAAUAUUUUUAGUUCGCAUAUUUCGCAUAUCCAAUCUACCUUCUGGACUAGCCCUCC
rnacentral:lncRNA from 1 species